CCCCUUUAUAAUAAAAAUGAUUGAUAAAAAUUCAAUAUUUAUACACCACCCCUAAUCCCCAUCCUCUCUCAUCUCUCUUGGGCGGCCGAAAAUUGCUUUCGCCGCCCACUGUCCUCCUUCCGCCUUCACGCCACGGUGGACCACCGUCUAACCGCCGCCGAAAAUUGUCACGGCGGCGGACCACUGCCAAUUGGCUAAAAUUUUCACCAGAUACUCCUCACUCCUCCUCGUCCCUAAUUUCUCAACCAUUUUCGCAAAAAUCCACCCAAACUCCACGAUUAGUAGACCUGAGAAUUUAAGAAAAACUGAAAUUGCCCCUUUCUUGAUUCCUCUUCAAUUCUUACUUGUCUAAGGUUAAAAUUCACACUAAUCGACAUCUCUUGAUGAGUAUUGUCGAUUGGUGGUGGUUUCGUCUCAUUUCGUGGCCAUCGGGGCCCGAUCAAAUUCUGGUAGACCUGCCAGUCCUCUCAAAGCUUCUUCGUUCAUCACCUCCAGCAUGCAGGAGCUAUUGCUACAUAUAGCACUGGCCGGCAUGACAAAUUUUGGUUGGUGCUUGUGUAGCAAUCCUCCGGCUCAUCGGAAUUUCCUCUUGACAGCUCGGUUUAAUCCAAUAGGUUGAAUGAAGAGUUUAAACUUGUACGAGUCAAAGGCAUCAGGAGAUAUGAAUUGUACCCGGAAAACAUCAAAGGAAAUCGCCCCCAGACAACAUUCAAUGCGGAUGCCGUCAAAAGUUACUAUGUUUGACCCAUUACUCAGUGUAACAAUUCCCUGGUUGAGAUAACGAAGGCUUUUAUUUUUCACUACCCAAAACACCAUUAAUUCUUUUGCCAAGCCUUUGGGCCGGUUAUCUUUCUUUAUUUACCCUCUUUGGAACCUUAUUGUAAAAAGAAAAGAAGAAGAAGAAAACUGAUAUAUUCAAAAGGCACCCAGCCUCGGCAAAGACAUCAAGUCAACCCCGACUGGCCAUGAUUGGCAGAUGCUUUGAAAUUGAGAACUUUGGAAGAAAUAAAUCAAAUUGAAAUGCCCACAAAGGCAAAAUAAAAUUGAAAAGGUUAAGUCCCGUCCGACUAACCAUCACGAUAAAGGUUUGAAAAGCUAAAAGUGUCCCAGGGCCAGGAAGUCAAUUGGUAAUCCGAAAAUAACCGGCCGCAGUCGAAAUCAUCAUCAAAAGAAGAUGGGCCGAGAUCAAGAGUCUGAAGCACUCAAGGCCACAAAACCAACCACUGGUCCGAACUAAAAAUUGUUCUUUGUUGAGAUACACGAAACAGGUACAAUGCAAAGACAACCUUGAAAGAAGCAGGUACAACCAAAAAUAAUCAUGCGGAGAUUGAAAACAGCUCUACAACACAAAAACCCACAAAAAAAACGAAAGUCUUCUUAAAGUUCUUUCCCACAUUUCGCUCAUAUUUUAACUGCAUUCACAAUCAUGCUAGUAUAGAGCACACCAAUCCCUAUAUGCAUUUUUCAACAUAGGGCACAUCAUACCCUAGUUGAUGAUCUUAAAUGUAGGGUAAGGGUGGCAAGUGGGCCGGUCCAAACGGUCCCGGUCCCGGAUCGGUCCCAAAUUAAACGGGCUAAACGGUCCCGGCCCGCGGGCUAAAUAGGCUAAGUGGGCUAAGUGGGCCCAACGAAUUUUUAAAAAAUAAAAAAAAUAAAUAGAUAUUAGAU